UCCAGACUCCUACGGGAGGCAGCAGUGGGGAAUUUUGCACAAUGGAGGAAACUCUGAUGCAGCGACGCCGCGUGAGCGAUGAAGCCCUUCGGGGUGUAAAGCUCUUUCGACGGGAACGAUAAUGACGGUACCCGAAGAAGAAGCUGCGGCUAACUACGUGCCAGCAGCCGCGGUAAUACGUAGGCAGCGAGCGUUGUUCGGAAUUACUGGGCGUAAAGAGUGUGUAGGUGGUGCUCUAAGUUUGGUGUGAAAUCUCCCGGCUUAACUGGGAGGGUGCGCCGAAAACUGGAGUGCUUGAGUAUGGGAGAGGUAAGCGGAAUUCCUGGUGUAGCGGUGAAAUGCGUAGAUAUCAGGAGGAACACCCGUG
rnacentral:rRNA from 1 species